rnacentral:rRNA from 1 species
GACGAACGCUGGCGGCGUGCUUAACACAUGCAAGUCGAACGGUGACCCCUCUUCGGAGGGUGAUCAGUGGCGAACGGGAGAGUAACACGUGGGCAACCUGCCCCUGACUCUGGGAUAACUCCUCGAAAGAGGCGCUAAUACCGGAUAUCACCCACCGCGGCAUCGCGGUGGGUUGAAAGUUCUUCGGUCAGGGAUGGGCCCGCGGCCUAUCAGCUAGUUGGUGGGGUAACGGCCUACCAAGGCGACGGCGGGUAGCCGGCCUGAGAGGGCGACCGGCCAGACUGGGAGUGAGACACGGCCAAGAAUCCUACGGGAGGCAGAAGUGGGGAAUAUUGCGCAAGGGGCGAACGCCUGACGCGGAAACGCUGAGUGAGGGAUGACGGCAUUCGGGUUGUAAACCUCUUUAAGCAGGGACGAAGCGAGAGUGACUGUACCUGCAGAAGAAGCGCCGGCUAACUACGUGCCAGCCGCCGCAGUAAUAC